rnacentral:rRNA from 1 species
AGAGUUUGAUUCUGGCUCAGGAUGAACGCUGGCGGCGUGCUUCACACAUGCAAGUCGAACGGAUCUCUAUAACGGAGGCCUUCGGGUCGAAGUUAUAGUAGGUUAGUGGCGGACGGGUGAGUAACGCGUGGGUAAUCUGCCCUUAAGUCGGGGAUAACUCCGAGAAAUCGGAGCUAAUACCGGAUAAUCUCAAUGGAACGAAAGUUCUGUUGAGCAAAGGUGGCCUCUAUAUAUAAGCUACCGUUUAAGGAUGAGCCCGCGUUCCAUUAGCUAGUUGGUAAGGUAACGGCUUACCAAGGCGACGAUGGAUAGCCGGCCUGAGAGGGUGUACGGCCACACUGGGACUGAGACACGGCCCAGACUCCUACGGGAGGCAGCAGUGGGGAAUUUUGCCCAAUGGGGGGAACCCUGAGGCAGCGACGCCGCGUGAGUGACGAAGAUUUUCGGAUCGUAAAACUCUGUCCUUGGAGAAGAACUGUUUAAAGGCAAAUAGUCUUUUAACGUGACGGUAUCCUUGGAGGAAGCCCUGGCUAACUACGUGCCAGCAGCCGCGGUAAUACGUAGAGGGCGAGCGUUGUCCGGAAUUAUUGGGCGUAAAGGGCGCGUAGGUGGUUUUGUGUGUCCAAUGUGAAAGGCGUCGGCUUAACCGGCGAAUUGCGUUGGAAACUACAGAACUUGAGUGCAGGAGAGGGGAGUGGAAUUCCUGGUGUAGCGGUGGAAUGCGUAGAUACCAGGAGGAACACCGGUGGCGAAGGCGGCUCCCUGGACUGUAACUGACACUGAGGCGCGAAAGCGUGGGUAGCG